UUAACGCUGAGGUGUGAUGACGAGGCACUACGGUGCUGAAGUGAUAAAUGCCCUGCUUCCAGGAAAAGCCUCUAAGCAUCAGGUAACACGAAAUCGUACCCCAAACCGACACAGGUGGUCAGGUAGAGAAUACCAAGGCGCUUGAGAGAACUCGGGUGAAGGAACUAGGCAAAAUGGUGCCGUAACUUCGGGAGAAGGCACGCUGAUAUGUAGGUGAAGCCCCUGCGGGCGGAGCUGAAAUCAGUCGAAGAUACCAGCUGGCUGCAACUGUUUAUUAAAAACACAGCACUGUGCAAACACGAAAGUGGACGUAUACGGUGUGACGCCUGCCCGGUGCCGGAAGGUUAAUUGAUGGGGUUAGCGGCAACGCGAAGCUCUUGAUCGAAGCCCCGGUAAACGGCGGCCGUAACUAUAACGGUCCUAAGGUAGCGAAAUUCCUUGUCGGGUAAGUUCCGACCUGCACGAAUGGCGUAAUGAUGGCCAGGCUGUCUCCACCCGAGACUCAGUGAAAUUGAACUCGCUGUGAAGAUGCAGUGUACCCGCGGCAAGACGGAAAGACCCCGUGAACCUUUACUAUAGCUUGACACUGAACACUGGUCCUUGAUGUGUAGGAUAGGUGGGAGGCUUUGAAGCGUGGACGCCAGUCUGCGUGGAGCCAACCUUGAAAUACCACCCUUUAAUGGCUGGUGUUCUAACGUAGACCCGUAAUCCGGGUUGCGGACAGUGUCUGGUGGGUAGUUUGACUGGGGCGGUCUCCUCCCAAAGAGUAACGGAGGAGCACGAAGGUUGGCUAAUCCUGGUCGGACAUCAGGAGGUUAGUGCAAUGGCAUAAGCCAGCUUGACUGCGAGCGUGACGGCGCGAGCAGGUGCGAAAGCAGGUCAUAGUGAUCCGGUGGUUCUGAAUGGAAGGGCCAUCGCUCAACGGAUAAAAGGUACUCCGGGGAUAACAGGCUGAUACCGCCCAAGAGUUCAUAUCGACGGCGGUGUUUGGCACCUCGAUGUCGGCUCAUCACAUCCUGGGGCUGAAGUAGGUCCCAAGGGUAUGGCUGUUCGCCAUUUAAAGUGGUACGCGAGCUGGGUUUAGAACGUCGUGAGACAGUUCGGUCCCUAUCUGCCGUGGGCGCUGGAGAAUUGAGGGGGGCUGCUCCUAGUACGAGAGGACCGGAGUGGACGCAUCACUGGUGUUCGGGUUGUCAUGCCAAUGGCACUGCCCGGUAGCUAAAUGCGGAAGAGAUAAGUGCUGAAAGCAUCUAAGCACGAAACUUGCCCCGAGAUGAGUUCUCCCUGAGACUUUAAGUCUCCUGAAGGAACGUUGAAGACGACGACGUUGAUAGGUCGGGUGUGUAAGCGCAGCGAUGCGUUGAGCUAACCGAUACUAAUGAACCGUGAGGCUUAACC
rnacentral:rRNA from 1 species